UUUUUUCCAGGUAAGGAGCCUAGGAAGCCCCCUUCCUCCCAGAUUGGGUCUCAGAGCCAUGCUUCAAGAAUCAGAAAAGCCUCAAGAAUCAUCUAGCCUUCCUUACUCUUCAAUGCUAUUCUUCUCUGAACAUUGAGGUCCUAGAUGCAGACAUUGCUGAAUGCAAGGUGGCUGGAGGCCCUGGAGUAGUCCCUGUAUCUCAGGCUCAGGGAACCUUUGGAACCACUCCUUAUCUGGAGAUUUUGGGAACUGAAGCUUCCAGUGGGCCAAUGAAAGCAAGAAAAUAACAGCACAAGGUCCAGAAUCCAGAAGACCGCCCUGGACACUUAGGGAAGCAAUAUACGCCAGUGGUUGAGAAUCUCCACUUCGGAAGCUGAUUUCCAGAGCUGGCAAAUGGGCUCACCAAUAAACAUCUGUGUGACCUCAAGCAAAUCACCUUAUGUGCAUCAUUGAGGACUGUCAGGAAGACUGAUAAGGUGAUGAAUAAAAAGGAAUAGAGAAUACAAAUCAGUGAAAGGAAUUUGAAAAUCUUUUCAAUCAGUGCGUGAUAUCGGCGAAGACUGAUCGAAGGAUUCUGUUCCUUUACUUUGUAUCCCCUGUAAGCACAAGUGAAACAGGCAGAGGGCCUUCACACAAUAGAAUGAGUAAUGAUGCUGACUUGGUCCUAAAAUGUAAGUACUGUAUCUUCCAUGCUUAAAAUUGUCCAAAGCUUUCCUGCCACACUUUUUUUUAAUGUUUGUUUAUUUUUGAAAGACCAAGACAGAGCACAAGCCCAGGAGGCGCAGAGAGAGAGGGAGACACAGAAUUUGAGGCAGGUUCCAGGCUCUGAGCUAUCAGCACAGAGCCCAAUACGAGGCUCAAACCCAUAAACCCGUGAGAUCAUGACCUGAGUCAGACACUUAUCCAACUGAGCCACCCAGGCACCCCCCUGCCACACUCAUAAUAAAAUCCAUACUCCUAUCAGCCCUCGAGUCCCUCCACUCACACUGGCCUGCUUUAGUUCCAUGAAUAGAUCAACAUUUGCCUCAAGCUGGGCCUAGGUAUUGGUCUUUGUGUAACACUUCUAUAUUCACCAUGAUCCUUUUAGGUCUUCUCUUAAAUAUCACCUCCUAAAAGAUGCUUCCCCUAACCCUUUAACAUUAGUUAAAUCCAAUUCUAUGAAUUUCUCUUACCUAGUGUCAUAUUUGUUUCCUUUGUGAUAUUUAUAAUAACUUAAAAAUACACAUGUAUUUAUUUGUUAGUUUCUUUAUAUAUUAAUCUAGCUAAACUGAGGGCAAUUUUGUACCUACCUCUCCACCUGGGGGAUAUUUGGCAAAGUCUGGAGACCUUUAUUAUUGUUCCAAUCAGGUAAGGGAGGUUAUUACUGGCAUCUCGCGGGUAGGGGCCAGGGAUAUUGUUUAAUAUCCUAUGAUGCACAGGACAGU